rnacentral:lncRNA from 1 species
AGCCUUCAGGAGCAAAUCGAGAGCGCUUCGGCUUCCCCCGUUAUCCACCCCUAGGUCUCUGCAAGGCGGCCACAGUCAUCUGCCCCCAAUUGAAAUCGAGGUCUUCCACGGCGAUUAUUUAAAGUGGCCCACUUUCAGCGAUCUAUUUUCCGCAAUCUAUGUAAGUAAACCAAGGCUGACUCAAGUGGAAAUGUUAUAUCACCUCUGCCUCAAAACUCGCGGUGAGCCAAGGUCAAUGUGGAAAAAGCUCCGCUGACGAAGGCGGGAUUCAGUUCCGCCCUAAAAGAACGUUUCGAGAACAAGAGAACUCUGGUCAACAGUCAACUAAGAAUGCUAUUUGGUUUCUCACCUAUCCAAAAUGAAUCUCGCAGCAAGAGCGAGAUACCGUCGUGGAGCUCCAUGAACAAAUUCCUGAGUGAGCUAUAUUUAUCUCUCGAAGCAAUGGAUAACGCGAAUGCUUACAUGCAAGCGCUUUCCAUGCCCGAAAAAAUGGAAAAGGGCUGGAAAAAAGUGAAUUCUUUUGAGGCAAAGGUCAGCUGUGACAUCCGCCAAACUCUGUCAAGAUUCACCCCUGCAGUCUUUGCUCGAAAGAAAACCACCCGGUACGCCAAAUGUUAAAUAAGCCUCAAAACCUAUGCAUGAGACCAUUUUUGGAUGGAUCCUUACCGGACCAGUAAACUAGUCAACUCGCACCUCAAUUUCCUCAUUUGCUACAAGGAUUAGCGCAGAACAGCGUUUAGAAAACCUUCUAACGAAGUUUUGGGAGUUGGAGGAUCUUCCAGGCAGUCGGGUUUAAGAUUCUUCGGAGUCCCUCUGCGAGGACAAUUUUGUUCGAACCGCCCGUACAGAUGCAAGUGUCAUUGUCUUUUCGGAAGCCUGAAUGCGUAAACUUAGUGCAUACAAGAUCAAUCGCGCUAGCUCAGUUCCUGAAAAGCGAAAGUCGGUUGAGACGAAACGUAUUGUUGAAAGAGCAGUAUGAUCGUGUCCUCCAGGAGUACCUAGACUUAGGUCAUAUGCGCAAAGUGCCACCAAGCAACGAUCCCGAUAACUUCUAUCUGCCCCAUCACGCUGUCCAAAAGCCGGACAGCACAAAAUUACGGGUAGUCUUUAACGCCUCCAGUAAGUCCUCGAAGAGUUUAAAAGAUACUCUCCAUCCAGGACCUGUUCUCCGAUGCAAUCUAACCAUUCAGAUACUGAAAUGGCGGUUCUUACGAUAUGCUUUUGGUGCUGACAUCACAAAAAUGUAUCGGCAAAUUACCCCCGAUCUCUCGCAAACAAGAUUCCAACGAAUCCUUUCCAGGAAUGUAAAUGGCGAGCUUUGUGAUUAUGAGCUUACCAUUGUUACGUUUGUGGUAAACUGCGCUCUUUUCUUGGCCAUUCGCGUGCUGAAGGAACUUGUGCAAGAUGUCCUAAAGAUAUUCCCAUUGGCAAGCGACAUCAUAUCCAAUUCGAUGUAUGUCGACGAUGUACUUGCGGGUGCACACACAAUAAAAGGUGCAAUCGCAUAUAUAAAGGAGCUUCGCGCUGCACUUGACAGUGCGUGUUUUCCGCUGAGGAAGUGGACUUCUAAUGCAAAGCCGGUCCUCCAGGACAUUCCUGCGUGCCGAUAUCCUUGAAAUGCAGAACUAUAGUUCCGCGAAGAUCUUAGGUAUACGGUGGCAAGCGGAUAGUGAUUAAUUCUUUUUCGGACAUCCGGGGUAGCCAUAAGCUCCUUUUACACAAAAAGAUAAGUUCUAUCCCAAGUAUCAAAAUUAUUCGAUCCAGCAGGAUGGCUGGCUCCCUUCAUAGUACGAGCAAAAGUCUUUAUGCAGGAAAUCUGGCUUAAAGAGCUCGGGUGGGAUGACUCUCUGUCAAAAGACCUAGUCACAAGAGGUUCCUUCCUCCUUAGCUAUCGUGAUCUUCACCAAUUCGCAUACGAGUGAAGACCGUGUCUUUACCACGCUUGAAAUUGUCUGGGGCCGUUCUUCUCGCUGAGUUGUCGUCGUCUCUUCUUCCUUAACUGUCCCUUGAUAGCUACGAAUGCUUUUAUUGGACAAACUCCAGAAUUGUGCCAAACAAAGCUCCAUGUAGAUGGACAACUUUUGUGGCCAACAGAGUGACUAGAAUCACACAGUCAGUCAUCCAGAGAACGUGGUCUUACGUAAGAUCGGUGCACAACCCAGCGGAUUUAUCUAGCAGAGGGGGUUUCAUCCCAAAAUUUGGCGAGCAGCGAUCUAUAGUGGCCCGAGGCAGAAUGGUUGCAACUCAACCAAGACCAAUGGCCCAUUCCAGCUGAACCUCCGCACGAGACGGAAUUGGAGCAACACACGGUGAGUGCAACUUGUUCAAGCUGGAACUGGAACUUAUUGUCAUCGAUCGCCUUUCAGAAUUUUAAAAGGCCAUGAGGGUCCUAUCCUUUGUCUUUCGUUUUAUAAAGCGGUGUCAGAAGCCAGAUACUAAAUUUCCAGUCCAGCUCGGUAGCAAC